GAGUUUGAUCAUGGCUCAGAACGAACGCUGGCGGCAGGCUUAACACAUGCAAGUCGAACGAGAAUUCACCUUCGGGUGAUAGUAAAGUGGCAGACGGGUGAGUAACACGUGGGAAUCUACCUAGUUCUACGGAAUAGCCCGGAGAAAUCCGGAUUAAUACCGUAUACGCCCUACGGGGGAAAGAUUUAUCGGAAUUAGAUGAGCCCGCGGUAGAUUAGUUUGUUGGUGAGGUAACGGCUUACCAAGACUACGAUCUAUAGCUGGUCUGAGAGGACGACCAGCCACACUGGGACUGAGACACGGCCCAGACUCCUACGGGAGGCAGCAGUGGGGAAUAUUGGACAAUGGGCGAAAGCCUGAUCCAGCCAUGCCGCGUGAGUGACGAAGGCCUUCGGGUUGUAAAGCUCUUUAGCUAGGGAAGAUAAUGACGGUACCUAGAAAAUAAGCUCCGGCUAACUCCGUGCCAGCAGCCGCGGUA
rnacentral:rRNA from 1 species